UCCUUUUUCAAAUCAGUGAAAUUAAUCUCCCCGUGAAGAAGCGGGGAUACUCAUAUAAGACGAGAAGACCCCAUGGAGCUUCAAACCCAACUACACCCCUAGCUCUUAUAGCCCCACAACCCCCCCUAGGCGCCGUGUGCUUGGUUUUAGGUUGGGGCGACCGCGGAGUACAAUAAAACCUCCACAAUGAAUGGGAACACCCCCUUAUCUGAGGGCCACACCCCCUAAGAAUUAGAACACUAACAUAAAAUGAUCCAUUACUUGAUCAAUGAACCAAGUUACCCUGGGGAUAACAGCGCAAUCCAUUUCAAGAGCCCCUAUCGACAAAUGGGUUUACGACCUCGAUGUUGGAUCAGGGUACCCCAGUGGUGCAGCAGCUACUAACGGUUCGUUUGUUCAACGAUUAAAACCCU
rnacentral:rRNA from 1 species